UACGAAGGGUGCAAACGUUGCUCGGAAUUAUUGGGCGUAAAGCGCACGUAGGCGGCCCAGCAAGUCGGAAGUGAAAUCCCACGGCUCAACCAUGGAAGUGCUUUCGAAACUGCUGGGCUUGAGUACAAAAGAGGAUCGCGGAAUUCCCGGUGUAGAGGUGAAAUUCGUAGAUAAUCGGGAGGAACACCAGUGGCGAAGGCGGCGAUCUGGGUUGAUACGUGACGCUGA
rnacentral:rRNA from 1 species